UUGAAGGAUUUGUAAGAAAUGUUUGAGAGAACUGUUAAACUGUUAAACACUGAAUCAGUUCCUCAAACAUUUCUUACAAAUUCUUCGA